GACGAACGCUGGCGGCGUGCUUAACACAUGCAAGUCGAACGGAAAGGCCCUGCUUUUGUGGGGUGCUCGAGUGGCGAACGGGUGAGUAACACGUGAGUAACCUGCCCUUGACUUUGGGAUAACUUCAGGAAGCUGGGGCUAAUACCGGAUAGGAGCUCCUGCUGCAUGGUGGGGGUUGGAAAGUUUCGGCGGUUGGGGAUGGACUCGCGGCUUAUCAGCUUGUUGGUGGGGUAGUGGCUUACCAAGGCUUUGACGGGUAGCCGGCCUGAGAGGGUGACCGGCCACAUUGGGACUGAGAUACGGCCCAGACUCCUACGGGAGGCAGCAGUGGGGAAUAUUGCACAAUGGGCGGAAGCCUGAUGCAGCAACUCCGCGUGCGGGAUGACGGCCUUCGGGUUGUAAACCGCUUUCGCCUGUGACGAAGCGUGAGUGACGGUAAUGGGUAAAGAAGCACCGGCUAACUACGUG
rnacentral:rRNA from 1 species